rnacentral:rRNA from 1 species
UACGGGGGGGGCAAGCGUUGUUCGGAAUUACUGGGCGUAAAGGGCUCGUAGGCGGCCAACUAAGUCAGACGUGAAAUCCCCAGGCUCAACCUGGGAACUGCGUCUGAUACUGGUGGGCUCGAAUCCGGGAGAGGGAUGUGGAAUUCCAGGUGUAGCGGUGAAAUGCGUAGAUAUCUGGAGGAACACCGGUGGCGAAGGCGGCGUUCUGGACUGCAACUGACACUGAGGAACGAAAGCCAGGGGAGCAAACGGG